AAGAUACUUUACUUAUAAUUACCCGACUUCUAAACUUCUAAAUUUUAUUUAUAAAUAAGUUUGAGUGAUUUAUAAAUUAAAUUAAAUACUUCAUGUAGGAAGAAAUAUUUCAGGUACUGCCCUUGGAGGAUGCCAAUAUGCUAAUCAACUGUCGGUUUUAGGUGCAUUUCUUGAUCAAACUAAUUCAAAUUAUGCAGAUGCAAAGGAGAAAAUGAGGGGCUGGAGAGUGAUCCUAUAACCAAGAAGAAACUAGCAAUUUAGAAACAUAAAAACUUCCCCAUAUAUAUUUCAAGAUAAAGAAGUAAAACUGUACAUUAUUCCUCAACAACGGCCACAAAAGCCCACUUUCAAACACGCAGGGCGAAGCUAUCAACAAUAUGA
rnacentral:misc_RNA from 1 species